CAAAGGCCCCAAAGGAAGCCACGGCUACCUCUGUGCCAGCAGCCGCGGUAAUACAGAGGUGGCAAGCGUUGUUCGGUAUUAUUGGGCGUAAAGAGCACGUAGGCGGCUUUGUAAGUCAGAUGUGAAAGCCUUCUGUUCAAAGGAAGAACGGCAUCUGAAACUGCGAAUCUUGAGUGUAGGAGGGGAAAGUGGAACUUCUGGUGGAGCGGUGAAAUGCGUAGAUAUCAGAAGGAACGUCGGCGGCGAAAGCGACUCUCUGGCCUAUUACUGACACUGAGUGUGCGAAAGUUAGGGGAGCAAACGGGAUUAGAUACCCCGGUAGUCCUAACUGUAAA
rnacentral:rRNA from 1 species